rnacentral:lncRNA from 1 species
GAAGUAAGGCACCAGGAAAGGGUCUUUUUGUCUGAGGCUAGGCCUGAGCUUAGGAUGCCUGGGUCCUCUUUGGACACUCAACUGGAGUAGGCUCAGAGAGGCGCCCCAGGUGCCAGAGAUGCUGCAUGGUACGGGCACCCUCCCCUUGCCUCAGACCAUUCUUUCGCAGUCAACCCCUGCUCCCUUUUCUUAGCCAGUGGGGUGAGCUGCUGGGACAUGCGUUGAAAUUCCCGUUGGCUUCCCCCAAUGCCCUCCUUUCUGGCCCCCUCUUCCUCAGCUCUCCUGCUGCACCCCUACGGAACGUUCGUUCGGCGCUGCCCAAGGAAGGAAAGAACGUACUCAGGGCGUCCAAGUGCACAAGCUGUUCUAUCCCUCGCAAGCCAUCACGGUCCGCGGGGACCCGGGCAUCCCGUAUCCGGAUGCCGGGUCCUUCCCAUCCGCUUACCAAAAACUUGCAGCAAAUACAGCGACCUCCAAAGCCCCUGUCUGCUAGAAGCAAACUUUGUCCCCUCCGGCUCAAGAGCGAUCCUCGCAAAGUUUGAGCGGCAGAGCCAAUUCCUUACCUGCGCUAGGAAAGAGCCGGCCCGCGCCGCUUGGGCGCCAGGGCCUCCGGGAGCUGCGCGCAGCCCGGGACGCACCGGGGAGUCGCCGCCGCCGCUGUCGCCUCGGCCGCCCGCGCCCCUCGGCGGCCGC